rnacentral:rRNA from 1 species
CCUGACUGCUAUCGGAUUGAUACUAAGCCAUGCGAGUCUUUGUAGUAAUACAAGGCAGACGGCUCAGUAACACGUAGUCAACCUACCCUAUGGACAAGAAUAAUCUCGGGAAACUGGGCAUAAUUCUUGAUAGAUCAUAAUGCCUGGAAUGGUUUAUGGUUAAAAUGAUUCGUCGCCAUAGGAUGGGACUGCGGCCUAUCAGCUUGUUGGUGAGGUAAUGGCCCACCAAGGCGAUUACAGGUACGGGCUCUGAGAGGAGAAGCCCGGAGAUGGGUACUGAGACACGGACCCAGGCCCUAUGGGGCGCAGCAGGCGAGAAAACUUUGCAAUGUGCGAAAGCACGACAAGGUUAAUCCGAGUGAUUUCUGCUAAAGAAAUCUUUUGCCAGUCAUAAAACCACUGGUGAAUAAGGGGUGGGCAAGUUCUGGUGUCAGCCGCCGCGGUAAAACCAGCACCUCAAGUGGUCAGGAUGAUUACUGGGCCUAAAGCAUCCGUAGCCGGCUUUGUUAGUUUUCGGUUAAAUCCAUGUGCUCAACGCAUGGGCUGCCGAAAAUACUGCAUAGCUAGGGAGUGGGAGAGGUAGACGGUACUCAGUAGGAAGGGGUAAAAUCCUUUGAUCUAUUGAUGACCACCUGUGGCGAAGGCGGUCUACCAGAACACGUUCGACGGUGAGGGAUGAAAGCUGGGGGAGCAAACCGGAUUAGAUACCCGGGUAGUCCCAGCUGUAAACGAUGCAGACUCGAUGAUGCAUUGGCAUAAUAGCCAGUGCAGUGUCGCAGGGAAGCCGUUAAGUCUGCCGCCUGGGAAGUACGUACGCAAGUAUGAAACUUAAAGGAAUUGGCGGGGGAGCACCACAAGGGGUGAAGCCUGCGGUUC